GUUCAUACAUAACGCUGUUCUAAAUUUUUGUGCUCCAACUUUCCUCUUCUCGAUGCCACUGGUUAAAGGCCCCUCCAUGCCUCCUCUGUCAUGCGUUUUAAAUCGUCAGUGGUUUUUGACAUAUAUGUAGCUUACGUCACUUCAGGCAUGCGCUGUAAGCGUGGUUUCCCAGUAAGCAAAAAUUGAAUCACAUCCUCACGUCAAAUAUCAGAGUAAGAUGUGUUACUAGCAGUGUGAUAACAAAUAAAUGCAUCAAACUAAGAAUAGGAAACAGGAUGUUUUGCCUAUGUUUGCCUCUGCAAAUAAGGUUAUUGUGAUUUACGGUCAAGAAUGAUGAACUUUUUCCCAAAAAUUUAGGAUCGGUCCUUAAAGAAGACAACUACAGUAAACUGAAAAAUAAAAAUCAUAUAAAUGGAAGAUGCAAGAGUCACGAGAAGUCAAGGAUCACAAAGAAAAUAGAAAGAGGAAUUAAAAUCGGAUUUUGCCCAAAAUGUUGGAUUCUUCAUCAUGUUAUGAACGUUUCUUUGAUGUUGUGUUAAAUUUUCUGUAAUACAUAAUAUUAAAUUGUAAGAAUGCUAAAAAUAUUCUGGCAAUAAAUGCAAUAGAAUGCUUAAUAAUAUA